rnacentral:rRNA from 1 species
AUUGAACGCUGGCGGCAUGCUUUACACAUGCAAGUCGAACGGUAACAGGCCGCAGGGUGCUGACGAGUGGCGAACGGGUGAGUAAUGCAUCGGAACGUGCCCAGUCGUGGGGGAUAACGCAGCGAAAGUUGCGCUAAUACCGCAUACGAUCUAUGGAUGAAAGCGGGGGACCGUAAGGCCUCGCGCGAUUGGAGCGGCCGAUGUCAGAUUAGGUAGUUGGUGGGGUAAAGGCUCACCAAGCCGACGAUCUGUAGCUGGUCUGAGAGGACGACCAGCCACACUGGGACGGAGACACGGCCCAGACUCCUACGGGAGGCAGCAAUGGGGAAUUUUGGACAAUGGGCGCAAGCCUGAUCCAGCAAUGCCGCGUGCAGGAAGAAGGCCUUCGGGUUGUAAACUGCUUUUGUACGGAACGAAACGGUCUUGGUUAAUACCCGGGGCUAAUGACGGUACCGUAAGAAUAAGCACCGGCUAACUACGUGCCAGCAGCCGCCGUAA